rnacentral:rRNA from 1 species
UACGUAGGGUGCAAGCGUUAAUCGGAAUUACUGGGCGUAAAGCGUGCGCAGGCGGUUUUGUAAGUCUGUCGUGAAAUCCCCGGGCUCAACCUUGGGAAUUGCGAUGGAGACUGCAAGGCUAGAAUCUGGCAGAGGGGGGUAGAAUUCCACGUGUAGCAGUGAAAUGCGUAGAGAUGUGGAGGAACACCGAUGGCGAAGGCAGCCCCCUGGGUCAAGAUUGACGCUCAUGCACGAA